GGGCCCAUAGCUCAGCGGUAGAGCCCCCCGCUCAUAACGGGUUGGUCCUUGGUUCGAAUCCAAGUGGGCCCACCA
rnacentral:tRNA from 2 species